GAAUGACUGAACAAUGAACAAGCUUCUGCUGAGUGCCUCCCCCCAGAAAGAUUACCGAGAUUUAUUUGAUAUCAAAGUUUAACUCUUCCUUUUAGACGUAAGCUGCUGGAAUCACUUAAUUUUUCUAUAUUUGGUCCACAUGUGAAAUUCCAACCAACAUCAAAUGAAAGUUUGAUUAAACAGACCAGGAACUAUAUGUGUGAUGGAUGUCAGCCCCCCCACCCCACCCCCAGGGCAGGACGUGGGUCUGGAAACCAGAAGAACUGACAAUACAGAGCUCAAAGUUCUCCCCCAAAGUCCACGGCCUAUGCCCAGAGAAAAACGUGGUAUUUCAAAAUUAUCUCCAACGCAAUGAGGCAAAAGGACAAAGCAGUUUCAGUUUCCAAGAUUAUUCUAGCUUCUCAGAAGCUCUUGUUGCCCUUGAAGCUGGUUUCCUGGAGCAGACAAGAUUCCCAGGAUUCUGCAAGCAGCUAGAGUUAUCUGAAAGAGAAUAUUGGUGAAUCCCAGGAAGUUCCUGUUAACCACCUUCAGAAAGACAAACUACAAGAAUAUCCUUUAUCUAAGCCCCCUACUGUUAUGCUUUGUCUGAACAAAUGAGGGGAAGGAUCUAAUGCCUUGGCCAUGGGAAAUGCCACAUACCCCCCGAGUCUAUCAAGAAGGUACAGUAUGUGAACACAAACUCCUCCCGUGUGAUGAAUCCCAUAAGGACUCAGAAAAAAUCAUGCAAGCACCAAGCAUUUAUUUAUGUGACCAGCUCAUGCAUCAGGAGCAGUUUGUUGGCUCCCAAAAAAUGACAAUAUUUAUACAAUGCACAUACUCCCCAAGAGAAAAUAUUUUGUCAAAUACCAAACAUGAUGUCUGAAAAGAAAUAGACAUUCACAUGACACUAAAUUUUCUGUGUCCUAUCAGUAAGGAAACACCACUUGCAGUCUGUCUGGUUAAGUGUCCUUCACUAGGCUAAGAAUCAACAAAAUCCAUUUUUAACAAAAUCAGAGGAUAUAGGUUUCCUACCAAGACCACCUACAGCCUUCCCUCCACUCUAACUUUCUAAUCAUUAAAUACCCUACUAAUACCUGGUUUGUUUCACUAAAAGAGUCAUUGUAUCACUACACAAUUAUCCCCAACUGUCUAAGCCCUUCAGUCACUGCACUAUGUUCCUACAUAGAAACCUGAAAGAAAUAUGAGUGUAUUCUUUGUCUUCCUGUGUUUGUUAAAAUAGUUGCUCCUUGACAAUGGCAUAUUAACAAACUAUCACAACUGCACUUCAGUUGUUUGAUCUACACAGCACAGGGAAGGCUUUUCAACUCAACAAUCACUUGGAUGGGGUGAGAUUACAGGAGUUGAUCCAUUCGAGGUCAUAAAAAUUCAAUGUGCAUGUGAAAGUAGAUGCUAAAACUUGCACAGAAGGAAAUCAUAGCAUCAAAAAAUGUGCAAGCUAGAAGGAAUCCCCAGAGACUAUAACACCAGCCAAUUCACUUGAUAGAUAAGGAUAGCUCCCCAGAAUCCAGGGAUGAUAUUUGAAACACAAAGACUCCAAUAACAGGGAAGAGGAGCUAUGUGAGAAUUCAGUAUUCUGACAUCCACACCCAGCUUGUCCAACUGUCCCACUCAUCUCUCCUCAAGCACUGCCAUUAGCGAAUUCCUCAGCCUCCUGAACAAAGCUUGCAUGGCAUUAGUGGUGCUAGGCAUUGACAGCUUCUUCUAUCCAAUAGUUUAGAUGAACUAGGAGACAAGUAUAAUGUCCUUUUCCAUGCAAAUGCUAUACUUUCUCUCAUUGCCUUUGUCCCAGUAAAUCCAUAUGGUCUUCACUGGAAAACUCAACAAGUUUUCUGAAAGGCCCAGAGUAUGACAGAAAAUGGAUGAAAUAAUUAGGGCAGAGUAAUCACUAGAUGCCAGUUCUCCUGACUUCCUGUACAUCACACUUUCUACUUUAAAUUCUCCCAUGAGCCAAUGUUCCUGCAGACAGAUCUGAAUAAGGAAACAGCAGAUUAUGUCAUUCAAGUCUUAAAUCAAUCAACUGAUAGCCACUAUACUAUAUAAUAUCCCAUACUACAUGUCUAAUAUUAGCCAAGACAAUCUUCAGCUGAAAUCUUCUUGGUACCAACUUUUUCCACUAAAGACAAACAUGCAUUCAGCUAAAGUAACUGCAACUGCUGUUAUAAAUAUACAGUAUAGAAUUACUUGUAGAGCUCCACAGAAUGAAAGGUAAUUCUCUUUUUUAUGUUUAGUAGUGGCAAGGCUGUUUAAAUUUUGGCAGUUACUCAGAAUUAAGCAUUGAUGCUACAAUCUACUCAGACUUUUUUUAUAUCAAAGGCUAGUACCUCUCUAUAUUAGAUUCUUAUAAUGGGCAAAGUUUCCAAAAUGACACUCUUUUGUUUUAAAGCAACUAUUGCUUUUACAGAAGAAGUUUUAAAUUUGGGCAGAAAAGUACACUGUAGGUCGCAAUUGUAUCAACCAGUGAACAACGAUGAUUUCGGUGUACUUUUUCAUUAACUCAUACCUGUCUUCUCCAAAUACUCCAUCCCUGAGGUUUCACCUUUUAUGUGGUUUUCUUACUUUUUGAUAUGCUGUGCAUAAAACAUGGCAAAUAGUUUAACCGCUAAAUGGAUUUUCUGGUGAAUUUGGACAAAUAGUGUGGAUAGAAAAGAAGUUUCCUUAACCAAGAAGUAGAAGAAAAAGAGGAAGAGAAAGAAGGAUGAGGAGAAAAAGGAGAGGAAGGAAAAGGAGAGGGAGAGGGAGAAGAGCAGAAGAAUGGGAGCAGGAGAGGUGAGGCAGAAAAAGGAGAAAGAGAGGAGGAGAGGGGGAAGAAGAAGAAGAAAAGAGGAAGAAGAGGAGGACAGAGAAGAGAGAAUAUGAAGAAAUAAAUGCUAUUAUUUCUUACAAUAAUAAAAGUUAUUCUGUGCUGGUAAAGAGAGCCCAUGCAGAAAGCACUGCGGUAAAACAAGUUAGAGUGAAAAUGUUUUCAAUCGCUUUAGCAGACACUCCUAGAAAUAACUUUUAUAAAAAUAAUGUAAGUUCAGUUACAGUGUAAAGUUGCACUUAAAUGGGGCCAGGGUAAAACAAGUUAGAGUGAAAAUGUUUUCAAUCGCUUUAGCAGACACUCCUAGAAAUAACUUUCAUAAAAAUAAUGUAAGUUUAGUUACAGUGUAAAGCUGCACUUAAAUGGGGCCAGGGGAGACUGUGCAUAAGAAAGUGAAGACAUGCAUUGCCAAGUUGAUUGAAAUGGGAAGGGGUUGAGGACGAAAACUAGUAACAACCUCUGCAACCAACAGUGAGAUAUAACAGUGAAACAGUGUGUCAAUUUGAUUAAAAUAACAACUGUGUCACUUUUAUAAAAACAGAAAAAUAAUUUAAAUGAUGUGUUGGGAAAUACAGAGCGGUGUGCAUGUUUCAAUCGAGAUAUGCCUAUUCCUCUACCUAAAAGCCUUCAAGUGAUUCACUGUUGCUAUUCAAGCUUUAGCACAUUCUCCUUAAUCAUUAGGGUCUUCUUUUUCUGGCAUCUACAUUACCAACCCCAACUCUCAUCAUUUUCUUACCACCCCAGCUGUGAGUGCCCAGGGUGUGGUGGCACACACCUGUAAUGCUACCAUUCUGGGAAGCUGAGGCAGGAAGAUCUCAAGUUCAAGCCAACACAACAAUUUAGGAAGAUCCUGUUUCAGGAAGAGGGCAGGGAGGAAGGGAGGGAGGGAGGGAGGAGAGGAAGAAAAAGAAAAAAAGGAAGAGAAAGGAAAGAAGAAAUGGCUGAGAUAUAGCUCAGUGCAAAGCUGCUGGGUUCAAUCCCCAGGAGUACUACAAGAAAAGAAACAGCUGCCUAACUAUGUCACCUUCAGCAGUCUACGCAGGUGGCAAUCUUUUGAGAAGACUCCCUGCCCUUCCCCACAGCGCUCCUUGUCUCAGAAUUUUCAUUCCACCCUGCAAGAGACUGAGUGUUUUUCGGUCAUCCACUCACAUUCUGUCCACGAACCAUUUGGAAGGACUCAUUGGAUGUGCACUGAGUGGGUGACUAAGUUAAAGAGUGAAUCGGCGACAGAAUGUGAAUAAAUGUUGCUGCCAUGGCCCCACCACCCCACUACCUAAUUUGACGGAGUGACUGCAUGCAUUUACAACUCUGUGAAGUGCAGUGAAGAGAGACCAGAAGGAAAGCAAACGCAAAAGAUCAUGGUGUUAGGGUCAUUGGGAUGAUUUAUUUUUCAAAAUCUUUUUAAAUACCAUGGGGAAUUUGGAGGGUGGGGAGGGCAGCUAAAAGCUUUCUUAAAGGACAAUUCACGUACUAUACCGUUCCCAUACUUACCAAGUAAAAACAGUCUUCACAGAGUUGGAAAAUGAUCACAAUUACUGAGCAGCUUCGCCAUCAUGAGAAAAGACCCCACACCCUUUCCCUAUUAUUCUCAGCAACCUCCCAUAUACACCCAUCCCUAAGCAACUACUAAUGAGUUGUCUUAAUAUUUACUUAUUCUGAAUAUUUCAUACAAUAGAAAUCAUCAAAGAUGUUAUCUCUUGUGUCUCUGUCAUUCAGCAUAAUAUAUUCAGAGUUCAUCCGUAUUCUAACACGUAUCAGUACUUUAUAGCAGAAUUAUUGCAUGGAUAUACCAUAUUUUAUUACCUUUGAACUACUACAAAUAGUGCUGCUGUGAACAUUCACGUAUAAGCUUUGGUGUAGACAUAGCAUUUUCAUCUCUCUUGGAUAUAAACUUAGGAUUGAAAUUGCUUGUUGAUGUUUUGAUUUUAUAUUUAACUUUUGGAGGAUCUGCAAGGAUGCUUUCCAAAGUGGCUGCCCUACAUUACAAUCUUUCCCACAUUGUAUGAGUCCCAGUUUCUCCACAUCCUUGUUAACAUUUUUUUCUGGUCCUUUGACUGUAUCAUCCCAGUGGGCAUGAAAUGGUGCUGUGACUUUAAUUUGCAUCUCCUGAAUGAUCAGUGGCAUUGAGUAUCUUCUUGUGUGCUUAAUUGGGCAUUUGUAUAUUUGACAUUUUUAACUUAGAAAAAAUGUUUAGAAGAUAGUUUAUUUUUAAUGAACACGAAAUUCAUAGGUCUCUCUGAGACCACAGCAAUGACCACUAAAAGGAAAAAAUUCAAUAAGACACUUUAAUGUCCCAUAAAAGACAAAAUAGUGAGAGAUCCCUUGGGGAUAAAGAAGGACUUUGGCCCCAGAAUCAGGUGACAAAUGUCACUCCUAACUCUGGGCAAGGUAUUCAGCCUCUCUGAGCCUUGGUUUCUACAGUUGUAAAAUGGAAGAUUAAUAAUACCGAUGUCAUAGGACUGGGGUGAUAAUUAAAUAAAAUGGACACACACAUAAAGCACAUAGUAAGUCCCUGGCACAUAGUGAACACUCAAUAAAUCCUUGUGGAGGAAAUGAAACUAAUUAAACUUCAUCAUUUUUAAAAGUUUGGGAUUUCAAGGAAGUUUGAUUGUGCAAAUAUAUAUUAGGACUUUCAAAAAAGAAAUAAUUUGUUUCCCAGAUUUAACUGAGCA
ensembl:lincRNA